CCAUGAGCCAAAAUAAACCUCCCUUCCUUUAAGUCAUGGUAUUUCAGCCCAUCAAUAGGAAAGUGACGAAUACAACAUCACUAAGAGAAACAAUUGCAAUUUAUAGUAAUGAGAUAGGGAAGAUGACAACCAAAGAAGUCAAUUCUAGUGAAUAUUAUGGAAUUGAAAACUAUGCUAAAAGGACAAAGAUUUGUACUCUGCUACUCUUCAAAACGUAA
rnacentral:lncRNA from 1 species